AGAGUUUGAUCCUGGCUCAGAUUGAACGCUGGCGGCAGGCUUAACACAUGCAAGUCGAGCGGAAACGAUGAUAGCUUGCUAUCAGGCGUCGAGCGGCGGACGGGUGAGUAAUACUUAGGAAUCUACCUAGUAGUGGGGGAUAGCACGGGGAAACUCGUAUUAAUACCGCAUACGACCUACGGGAGAAAGGGGGCAGUUUACUGCUCUCGCUAUUAGAUGAGCCUAAGUCGGAUUAGCUAGAUGGUGGGGUAAAGGCCUACCAUGGCGACGAUCUGUAGCUGGUCUGAGAGGAUGAUCAGCCACACCGGGACUGAGACACGGCCCGGACUCCUACGGGAGGCAGCAGUGGGGAAUAUUGGACAAUGGGGGAAACCCUGAUCCAGCCAUGCCGCGUGUGUGAAGAAGGCCUUUUGGUUGUAAAGCACUUUAAGCAGUGAAGAAGACUCCGUGGUUAAUACCCACGGACGAUGACAUUAGCUGCAGAAUAAGCACCGGCUAACUCUGUGCCAGCAGCCGCGGUAAUACAGAGGGUGCAAGCGUUAAUCGGAAUUACUGGGCGUAAAGGGAGCGUAGGUGGCUCGAUAAGUCAGAUGUGAAAUCCCCGGGCUCAACCUGGGAACUGCAUCUGAUACUGUUGAGCUAGAGUAUGUGAGAGGAAGGUAGAAUUCCAGGUGUAGCGGUGAAAUGCGUAGAGAUCUGGAGGAAUACCGAUGGCGAAGGCAGCCUUCUGGCAUAAUACUGACACUGAGGCUCGAAAGCGUGGGUAGCAAACAGGAUUAGAUACCCUGGUAGUCCACGCCGUAAACGAUGUCUACUAGUCGUUGGGUCCCUUGAGGACUUAGUGACGCAGCUAACGCAAUAAGUAGACCGCCUGGGGAGUACGGCCGCAAGGUUAAAACUCAAAUGAAUUGACGGGGGCCCGCACAAGCGGUGGAGCAUGUGGUUUAAUUCGAUGCAACGCGAAGAACCUUACCUGGUCUUGACAUAUCUAGAAUCCUGCAGAGAUGCGGGAGUGCCUUCGGGAAUUAGAAUACAGGUGCUGCAUGGCUGUCGUCAGCUCGUGUCGUGAGAUGUUGGGUUAAGUCCCGCAACGAGCGCAACCCUUGUCCUUAGUUACCAGCGGGUUAAGCCGGGAACUCUAAGGAUACUGCCAGUGACAAACUGGAGGAAGGCGGGGACGACGUCAAGUCAUCAUGGCCCUUACGACCAGGGCUACACACGUGCUACAAUGGUAGGUACAGAGGGCAGCUACACAGCGAUGUGAUGCGAAUCUCAAAAAGCCUAUCGUAGUCCAGAUUGGAGUCUGCAACUCGACUCCAUGAAGUAGGAAUCGCUAGUAAUCGCGGAUCAGAAUGCCGCGGUGAAUACGUUCCCGGGCCUUGUACACACCGCCCGUCACACCAUGGGAGUUGAUUGCACCAGAAGUGGAUAGCUUAACCUUCGGGGAGGCGUUCACCACGGUGUGGUUGAUGACUGGGGUGAAGUCGUAACAAGGUAACC
rnacentral:rRNA from 1 species